UGCAGUCGAACGCUUCUUUUUCNCCGGAGCUUGCUCCACCGGAAAAAGARGAGUGGCGAACGGGUGAGUAACACGUGGGUAACCUGCCCAUCAGAAGGGGNAACACUUGGAAACAGGUGCUAAUACCGUAUAACAAUCAAAACCGCAUGGUUUUGAUUUGAAAGGCGCUUUCGGGUGUCGCUGAUGGAUGGACCCGCGGUGCAUUAGCUAGUUGGUGAGGUAACGGCUCACCAAGGCCACGAUGCAUAGCCGACCUGAGAGGGUGAUCGGCCACAUUGGGACUGAGACACGGCCCAAACUCCUACGGGAGGCAGCAGUAGGGAAUCUUCGGCAAUGGACGAAAGUCUGACCGAGCAACGCCGCGUGAGUGAAGAAGGUUUUCGGAUCGUAAAACUCUGUUGUUAGAGAAGAACAAGGAUGAGAGUAACUGUUCAUCCCUUGACGGUAUCUAACCAGAAAGCCACGGCUAACUACGUGCCAGCAGCCGCGGUAAUACGUAGGUGGCAAGCGUUGUCCGGAUUUAUUGGGCGUAAAGCGAGCGCAGGCGGUUUCUUAAGUCUGAUGUGAAAGCCCCCGGCUCAACCGGGGAGGGUCAUUGGAAACUGGGAGACU
rnacentral:rRNA from 1 species